rnacentral:rRNA from 1 species
ACUCCUACGGGAGGCAGCAGUGGGGAAUAUUGGACAAUGGGGGCAACCCUGAUCCAGCCAUGCCGCGUGAGUGAAGAAGGCCUUCGGGUUGUAAAGCUCUUUCAGCCGGAACGAAACGGUCACGGUUAAUACCCGUGACUACUGACGGUACCGGAAGAAGAAGCACCGGCUAACUACGUGCCAGCAGCCGCGGUAAU